AUCUCGUCCCCGCCGGCGAGGAGAAAGCAGGACUUCAGAUGAUCAGCAUUCCUCCAGCUCCGGUGAUUCCUCCAGAUCGCUCUCCAGAGGAGCAUCGGCGAUGCACGGCUCCACUGCAGGAGGCUGCACGUCAAUCACACAGGUAACCUAGGGAACCGCUGGGCCCGCCCGCCUUGCCAUCGCUGAUUGGCCCGCAGUCGGAGGACCAGAAGUGGCGAGUCCGCACGGCUCCACAGAUGGAUGCUGAAAGCUGCGCCGGGAUCAUGUGGAGAGACGAACAAACAGGAGCGGAUUGCAGUACUUGUGAAUUCUCUUUCUCGCUUCCUGCUCCCUCUCUCUCUGUCUCCUCAUGACUUCAGAGCCUUUACUUCACAGUUGCCUAGCAACCGACAGGCAUGGGUGAUGCGUGGAGAGGGAGGAUGCUCGCAGGACAGUGGAGGGUCAAAAGACUUCAAGGACUGAAUCCAGCUGGAGGUGACUCCAGGUUUGCAGAGGCCCUUUCAGUGUGUAGUGUCCAUAUUGCCUCAUGCUAGUCGCCCCCUAAUGUUUACAACUGGAAGACUAAAACAUGAAAUCUGGAAGACUCAGUGCUGAGACCGUGCACCCAGCACCUCCCCACACAUGACCUGAAUCACCACAUCCGAGCCAGACAAGCGGACGAGGCAUGCGGUGCUGGUCUGUGGAUCUCCAAGGUGGCGACGAUCACGCCGAAGACUGGACUGAAGCCGACUGGGUCGCAGGCUGGACAGAAACAAGGUCAAAGGUCAGUUGCACAGCCAGACUGCAAGCAGCAUCCAGGGUUGGAAUUGUUCUUCCAAAAACGUGAAGUCUCAUUUGGCUCCGGAGAAGUACAUGGAAAAACCUGGACUGGAUUGGAUGGGUGGGCACCUAUGUAAAGACAAAAGCCUAACACUCGCCUCCUGUGAUUUUUGCUCCUCAACUCCAUUGCGGGCACUAGUGUCCUCACUCCCAUUAACUUCCUGUUUGGACUGUUUAGCAUCAGCGUCCUUUACUGGGCUCUCCUCCUCUGGUUUCCUCUGUGUAGAGACAAGACAGGGGGUGGGUGCACUACACUGAGCUAGAGACCAACGGCAGACAGCAUGCCACACCAACAUGCCACCACAACAGCCAAGCAGCAACACGCAGCUGAGAGAACAACAGUCCGUCCCUGCUUUCAAGCAACUCCUCCUCAGCCAACACUAGUCUGACAGGCUCCGUUUCAUUAGUUCCAACACAUGACCAACCAGACGUCUUGGUAUAGGACAAGUGUCGGCGUGAGGAGCAUCAUGAAGCAGGCAUCGAGUGCCUUGCCUCACCUUUUUCCUGACCAGAUGCGAGAUGUUGGAGACUUGCGAGGAGCCAUCUGUCGACUUGACAGGCAUCUGAGGAAAGGGAAUGUUUCUGUGAGCACCGGCAAACUUCCAGCUCAUUCUGACAUCCUCACCUGACUGACUGUGGUGAAGGCCGAUGAAGGUCCCCCGUUCUCACUGAAGGAUGAGGACGACGUGGAGGCUCCACCCUGAACAACAUGCAAGUGAGCUGGGGCCAUGUGGCUGAGUGAGGGGCCUGGGCUGACUCACCAGCGUCUGCUUGAUGGCCUGAGAGGCAGCGAGGGACGUUCUCUGGCUCUCCUUGGCGUCCUCGAUUUUCUCCUUGAUGUCAGGCAGAAGCUGCUUCAGCUCCUCCAUCUCCUUCACGUCGUCUUCUGAAGCGCCAGCAGCAGCGGAGUUGAUGGCCUCCUGCAACAUGGCUGCACAGAAGGAGAGCGUGAAUCCAGGGUGAGGGAACCUCACGGAAAGCCUCUUACCCAGCCGCUCCUCGAUGACCUUCACCGAGCUGUUGAAAUGCUCGAUGGCCUGGCUGUACUGGUCUAUGUAGCAGAGCGUGGAGGCCACAUGGUAGUGGGUCUCCGCCAGCAGCCGACUAUGAGGAGGCAGGUGCUUCUGCUGCAGGGUGAGACACUCCUGGAAGUCUUCUAGCGCCUGAGCGUAGUUGUCUGAAGAGGUCAGAAUGAAGUGAGAACUGAAAGCACAACAGGGCUCCUGGGAGCAAACACCAGACCACGCAAACCAGAGGGGCCACUAUCGAGGUCAGAAGCUCAUUUGAGUGAACUUUAGUUCCUCAACUGAUAUAGAGGGCAACAUUGGACUACAUUGCUACAAACUCUUUCUGCAGAUUGUUCCUGACAUGAGCCUGGCUGCUGUGUGAGGAAACCCUUCUAUAAUAUGGAGUGCAAUGGCCAAUGUUUUGCCUCUCUAUUCACAACCUCAUGCUGGGCCUGGGCAAUAAAUAGCAAGUCAGUUUAUGGACUUCAUACAGGGCAUAAACAAGUUGUUCCUUGAACAUCUUUGAGCUGCUUAAGAAAACAUUCAGAAUUUUGCUUGAAGAGAUCAAGACACAGUUCCGGCCUGAGGACUGAACAACUGCAGCGCACACCUCACUGUCUGGAUAGUGGAAAGCUUGCACUGCGGUGUGAGCUACUUUGAAUCCUGAGAACCAGAAACAAGGGAGGUGGUUUGAUGCAUCAACCACGUCAACCAGGUGCAGACAUCCAUGCCGUGUUCUGAGACAGGGCUAGUUUGAUUUGCUAAAAGCAUGAAUGACCAUUUACAAGUGAAAACAAUGGUAUGGUGCAGCCAAUAGAGCCAUAUGUGGUGUCACAAAUACAGCAGCAUAUCCAACUAUUAAAUUGUAUUGCCAUUUUGACGCCCAGGUUGGUUUAGGGCUCAAACUAGCAAUGACUGAGUCCAAGUAACUACUGUCAAUAGUACAGUCAGACAGUACGAGAGUCACUGUACAUGCAUCCCAAACAAGAGUCCUCCAGACACUGGAGUCACACUGUCAACUCAAGUCUACAUAUUCAAGUGGGGUUGAUGCCUCUGGAAUGAGCUGCGGCGAAAAUGACUGGUGGUUGCACCGGGCAAGGACAGAGGACGGCGGGCAAAACCAGACGCUAUUGGAGGCGGUUCUGUUGUUGUGGAAAAAAAAGUAAUGGAAGCGUUCGUGUUUUGUUUCUUUAAAUAUUGAAAAAAAUUAAAAAAAAAAAAAAAACAAUGAAGAUUGGCGUCACUAAACCAAUAAAAGGACAACCAUCCUGAAGGCUGUACUACACUAGCCACAACACUUGUGUGCAGUCGUACCUGAUUCAAUACUGACUUGACCGAGGAUCAGAUAAGCUUGUGCUGCCAUCAGCUGGUCGUCUUUGUUCUCCUUCCUGUGGGGAUAAGGUCAACAGUCAACGAGGGCAGGGAGCAGAGAAAGCCUGUUCACGGUGGCGACUCCUCUUCACCUCUUGUAGAUGACUUUAGCCAGCUCCAACAUCUCCCACGCCAACUGCAGGUUUCCAACUUCAUCCUCCUCCUACCAUGAGACAGGACGGUCAAAGAUGUUUGAGAGCUCCAGAUCACUCCAGGUCACUCACCUUUUCACCAUUCUCCUCUCCUCCUUCCUCAUCGCUCUCGUCAUCGUCAUCAACAUCAUCUAAAGAAAAAGUUUGGAUCACUUCAGGGGCCAUACUUUAAAAGGGCACGACAGCAAGCUCAUAUUUGCACCCCUCCAGGAGACACCAGUGACCUGAACCCAGUUCCACCACAUGACCAGUGCUGAUGUGAAGGAGAUAAACUGCCUGCCCUCUGGCUGUGCCUCUCCGUCUUCCUCCUCAGGCUUCUCCACAUUCUGCUUUGGCUCGUCCUUCCCAGGAGACACAGAAGGACUUUCUGCUGUUCCGUUCACCGCCACUGGACUCUUGUCGACCCCGUUUACUUUCACCCCAGGGGUGGGACUCCCGUGGCCGUUCAUCGCAGCGUGUCCAUUCAGCUGGGGUUUGACCGGGGACUUCUCCACACCAUUUUCAUUCUUCACCGUGACGCCGCCCUCUACAGGAGCCUCCUGAGACUUCUCGGCCAUCGCCUCAUACACCUGCUUACGGAGCUCUUCCCGAGCUUGCUCUGCCAGAGCGGCAUGAGGCGGAGUCACAUAGACACAAUGGGUUACAUUGUUGUCAC